rnacentral:rRNA from 1 species
GAUGAACGCUGGCGGCGUGCCUAAUACAUGCAAGUCGAGCGAACAGACGAGGAGCUUGCUCCUCUGACGUUAGCGGCGGACGGGUGAGUAACACGUGGAUAACCUACCUAUAAGACUGGGAUAACUUCGGGAAACCGGAGCUAAUACCGGAUAAUAUAUUGAACCGCAUGGUUCAAUAGUGAAAGACGGUUUUGCUGUCACUUAUAGAUGGAUCCGCGCCGCAUUAGCUAGUUGGUAAGGUAACGGCUUACCAAGGCGACGAUGCGUAGCCGACCUGAGAGGGUGAUAGGCCACACGGGAACUGAGACACGGGCCAGACUCCUACGGGAGGCAGCAGUAGGGAAUCUUCCGCAAUGGGCGAAAGCCUGACGGAGCAACGCCGCGUGAGUGAUGAAGGUCUUCGGAUCGUAAAACUCUGUUAUUAGGGAAGAACAAAUGUGUAAGUAACUAUGCACGUCUUGACGGUACCUAAUCAGAAAGCCACGGCUAACUACGUG